rnacentral:rRNA from 1 species
CCUACGGGUGGCAGCAGUGAGGAAUAUUGGUCAAUGGGCGCGAGCCUGAACCAGCCAAGCCGCGUGAAGGAUGACUGCCCUAAGGGUUGUAAACUUCUUUUAUCAAGGAAUAAAGUGAGGCACGUGUGCCUUUUUGUAUGUACUUUAUGAAUAAGGAUCGGCUAACUCCGUGCCAGCAGCCGCGGUAAUACGGAGGAUCCGAGCGUUAUCCGGAUUUAUUGGGUUUAAAUGGUGCGUAGAUGGGUUGUUAAGUCAGUGGUGAAAGUUUGCGGCUCAACCGUAAAAUUGCAAUUGAUACUGGCAGCCUUGAGUGGAGUUGAGGUAGGCGGAAUGCGUGGUGUAGCGGUGAAAUGCUUAGAUAUCACGAAGAACUCCGAGUGCGAAGGCAGCUUACUAAACUGCCACUGACAUUGAUGCUCGAAAGUGUGGGUAUCAAACAGGAUUAGAUACCCUGGUAGUC